GGAGGAGCCUCCAGUCGGUCCGGUGUUGCUGUGCUGUUCUAACGAGGGAGAGAGAAAAAGCCAGCGAUGAAAGGAACUGGGUGGCUGCGUUAGGAAAAGUACCCCUCACAGACUCACUCCGCAGACAAGACGGGAACCCUGCAGCAGCAGCCAUGUUGGACCUUCUGAUACUUCGGGGAGAGAGAGGGGGAGACGCGUGAGCCCAGCCUUUGCCGUUUUUUGUAACCAGAGCCAAAAGAGGAGGGUUUAGGGAGGGUGGAGCGCGUCACGAUGCAGGACUCUAGACGAUUCUAGGGUAAGGGAUACAUUAGACCCAAAUACACUCAACAAUCCUUUCCUUUUGGUUUUAAAUAUGAUAUGUUUUUAGUCAGUACAGCUGUAGUUCCUGGGUUAUUUGGAUAAGCUAUCCUCUGCCUUUAUAUCCAGGACAAAUCAGAACCACUCGUGUUUUCUGUGAAUUCCCAAUCACAUUGUAAUCACGGCAGCUGUUUUUCUUCCAGAAC
ensembl:lncRNA